AUGGGGGAGGGAGCAGGAGCUGUGUGUCUCAGGGCCGCCUCUGCUCCUCACCAUGCUGCCCCCAACACACACCACACCACACACACCACACACCACACCACACACCACACACUACACCACACACACCACGCACUACACAUACACAGACCACACCACACACCACACACACCACACAUACACACCCAUACACAUCACACCACACAUACCACACACACCACACACACCUCAUACAUAGACCACACACACCACACACACCACACACCACACACAUACACACCACGCACUACACAUACACACCACACCACAUACCACACACCACACAUACACACCACAUACACCACACCACACACGCCACACACCACAUACACACCCACACACCACACACCACACACCACACCACACACACCACACCAUACCACACCACACACAUGCCACACUACACACCACAUACACACCACACCACACACACCACACCACACAUACACACCACAUACACCACACCACACACCACACACCACACCACAUACACACCACACACUACACAUACACACCACACACACCACACCACACACGUCAUACACCACACCACACACACCACACGCCACACAUACACACCACCACACACCACAUACACCACACAUACACACCACACACACUACACCACACACCACACCACACUACACACACCACACACCACACAUACACACCACACACCACACACCACACACUACAUACACACCACACACACACCACAUAUGCCACACACCACACCACACACACCCAACGAGACUACACAUACAGACUCCUCACACACCACACCACACACACCACACACCACAUAUACACCACUUUACUCACAUAUACACACCACACCACAUACCACACACUCAUAUACACACCACAUACACCACACAUACACACCACGCACUACACAUACACACCCACACCACAUACCACACACCACACAUACACACCACAUGCACCACACAUACACACCACACACCACACCACACACACCACACACCACACCACACUCACCACACACACCACACCACACAUGCCACACACCACACCACACACACCACACACCACACCACACACCACGCACCACACAUACACACCACACCACAUACCACACACCACACAUACACACCACAUACACCACACCACACACGCCACACACCACACCACACACACCACACACCACACAUAUACCAUACCUUCCACAUACCACACACCACAUACCACACACCGUACAUACACACCACACACACCACACCACACACGCCACACCACACACGCCACACACCACAUACACACCACACACCACACAUACACUCACACCACAAACACCACACACCACACAUUAGCACACCAUACACUACACUACACACCAUACAAUCUACACCACACACAAUUCACACUACAUAUACAUACCUACACUAUACCACACUACACCACAUACACACCUACACACACCAUACACCCUACACUUUAUACUCACACUCCACACACCACACACUAAGCACAUACACACUACACAAAUUACACGGCCACCACACAACACCACACACACACCACACUAUACCACACCACACACACAUGCCACACCCACACACACCACACCACACUAUACCACACCCACACACCACACACUACACAUACACACCACACUACACACACACCACACCACACCACACACACACCACACUAUACCACACCACACACACGCCACACCACACACGCCACACCACACACGCCACAUACACACACCACACACACACCACACCCACACACCACACACUACACAUACACACCACACACACACCACACCACACACACCACACCAUACCACAUACACACCAAACACACACCACACUAUACCACAUACACCACACACCACACAUACACACCACAUACACACCACACUACACACCACAUACACACACCCACACCACACACACCACACACCACACACACACCACACUACUACCACACCACACCACAUACACACCACACACACCACACCACACUAUACCACACCCACACACCACACAUACACACAUACACACCACACACACCACCACACACACGCCCCACACCACACCACGCCACACUAUACCACACUACACACAUACACCACACACUUCACACCUACACCACACACACAUACACACACCACACACACACACCACACCCACACACCACACACUACACAUACACACCACACUAUACCACACCACACCCACACACCACACACCACAUACACACCACACACACACCACACCACACACGCCACACCACACCACAUACACACCAAUAACACACCACACUAUACCACACUACAACACAUCACACACUACACAUACACACCACAUACACCACACCACACACGCCACACCCCACCACAUACACACCACACACACCACACCCACACACCACACACUACACAUACACACCACACACACACCACACCACACACACCACACAACACCACACACACACCAUACCACACAGACACCAUACCACCCACAUCACACCACAUACACCACACCUCACACACACCACACCACACACAUACCACACCACACACAUACCACACCACACACCACACCACCCACAUCACAGCACACACACACCACACCACACACACACACCACACACACCACACCUCACACACAUACACCACCCACUCCACACCACACACACCACACACUACACAUACCACACCACACCAUCCACACAACACCAUGCACACACCAGACACUACACCACACACACACGCCACACACACAUCAUACUCCACACCCUCCUCACACCAUGUACUCACACACCACACACCACAAUCCUCACCUCACACCCAGUAGGGCUGUGUUCGGUGUCUCUACCCGGGCACCCUCUUUCAUGUGGCAGCAUUUUUAUUAUAACCAGCAUUUCCCAGGAUUCGAAGCUCCAGUUCCUUGCCUGGCAAAUUCAGUAAAUCCCAGGCCGGCGUUUGCCGGUGUCACGGUUUGCCACGGCUGCGGUAACAAAGCACCAUGA
rnacentral:lncRNA from 1 species